GACGAACGCUGGCGGCGAGCCUAAAAAAAGCAACUAGAACGCUGAAGAAGGAGAUUGCUUCUCAGGAUAAGUAAAAAACAAAUGAGUAACAAAUAGAUCAACUGAAUGGUAGCGGGGGAUAACUAUUGGAAACGAUAGCUAAUACCGCAUAAGAGUAGAUGUCGCAUGACAUUUGCUUAAAGGGUGCAAUUGCAUCACUACCAGAUGGACCUGCGUUGUAUUAGCUAGUUGGUGAGGUAACGGCUCACCAAGGCAACGAUACAUAGCCGACCUGGGAGGGGGAUCGGCCACACUGGGACUGAGACACGGCCCAGACUCCUACGGGAGGCAGCAGUAGGGAAUCUUCGGCAAUGGACGGAAGUCUGACCGAGCAACGCCGCGUGAGUGAAGAAGGUUUUCGGAUCGUAAAGCUCUGUUGUAAGAGAAGAACGAGUGUGGGAGUGGAAAGUUCACACUGUGACGGUAUCUUACCAGAAAGGGACGGCUAACUACGUG
rnacentral:rRNA from 1 species